GCUCAGACUAUACCUCCUUCUGUCUGAGAAGAAAAUGAAAUUUAAAAAUUUAUCUGCACUGGUACUUUAGACUCCCUGUUACAAAGGCAUUUCUGCUAUGGGGCAUCCCACAGAUGUCAGGAAAGAAGGAAUUGAGAAUGAAAUGCCCUGCACCAAAUAGAUUCACUUUCAAGGCUUGGAAAAGAAAAUCAACUUCUUUUUUUAAAGCUACUGAUCUUGGCUGAAGUGCAUUUGGACUUCUUAAGUAUCCAACUUCACAGUUAGGCUAGGCUGAAGAAGAGUGACUGGCCCAUGACCGCCCAGUGUGAGGAG